UCCUGACUGACCGAUAGUGAACCAGUACCGUGAGGGAAAGGCGAAAAGAACCCCGGCGAGGGGAGUGAAAAAGAACCUGAAACCGUGUACGUACAAGCAGUGGGAGCACGCUUAGGCGUGUGACUGCGUACCUUUUGUAUAAUGGGUCAGCGACUUAUAUUCUGUAGCAAGGUUAACCGAAUAGGGGAGCCGAAGGGAAACCGAGUCUUAACUGGGCGUUAAGUUGCAGGGUAUAGACCCGAAACCCGGUGAUCUAGCCAUGGGCAGGUUGAAGGUUGGGUAACACUAACUGGAGGACCGAACCGACUAAUGUUGAAAAAUUAGCGGAUGACUUGUGGCUGGGGGUGAAAGGCCAAUCAAACCGGGAGAUAGCUGGUUCUCCCCGAAAGCUAUUUAGGUAGCGCCUCGUGAAUUCAUCUCCGGGGGUAGAGCACUGUUUCGGCAAGGGGGUCAUCCCGACUUACCAACCCGAUGCAAACUGCGAAUACCGGAGAA
rnacentral:rRNA from 1 species